GGAAAAAUACCAUCACUUCCACUGAGCGUGGUGCAGGUUCAUUCUUUUGUUAACAAAAGUCUUCUGGCACUUGUCUACAGGCCAUUGAUGCAAGCUCACUAAAAGAAGGGGAACUUUUUUCUUCAAGAUGUUGGAAAUCACCAAGGAAAAUAUUUUCUUUCACCUCAGAAACACCUAAGUGUACAGGUUGAUAACAGCCGUGAUGCACAGGUUUCCUGUCAGCAUCUCGAUUGGGGUGGUUUUGUGAGUAAAGAAAGUAAAGAAAGUCCACACAGAUUCAGAACCAAACAAGAUCGAUGUCAGCCUGGAAGAAAUGCUUAUAGUUACAGCAGCACUGUUCAUCAAGGGACAGCACCUCUACAUAUGCAGAAGAAGAAGAGCAUUUUACUGAACCAACACAAGCAGCACUGAGGUCAUGGG